UGGAAGGUCCUCAGAGCCAGCAGCUCAAGAAAGAAAACCAGCCAGGCCUCAGAUGAUGAUUAUCCCAAGUGGCUGGUCAAGAGCAAGGAAAUGGCAGCGCAAUCAAUGAGAGUUCCUGUUGUUCCACAGACUCGCCAGUGUUUGAUGUUGUCAGUGUUGCAGAUUUUGGCCAUUCUAAUAGAUGUGUCAUUCAGUAAAGCCUGGGUAUGUGACAGACAACAAGGAACUAUUUGAGGACAUCCCAGUGGAUCGCAGAGCUGAAAGAAUGGAAUAAUGGGUAAGGCAUUAAGUCCCAAAUUUUACUCACCCUGAAGCUAGUCUACAUCUACCUUUGACUUCUUUCUAAAUGAGAUAAUACAUAUUCUUUGUGAUUUAAUCCAUUUUAUGUCAGAGUUUCCUGUUGGCUUGCAGCUGGAAAUCCCAUAGCCAUUACACCCAGAACAACAUUUUGAUUAUGUUCCUAAGAAAUGUAACCCCUGUCACUGCAUAUCCUUGGAAUAUUUUGAGUUCUGUCACAUGGCCAUUUACAACCUGAGAGCCAGGUGUGAGUCAGAAGGUUCUCUAUCAUCCUCUUUUAAAUCAUUACUCCUCACUUUCUUUGGAGUCCUUUCUCUAUAGAAGUUGUUGGUAUAGGUGUGUGAGGGAAAGAGAUUCUUAACACUUCAUGUUGGUAUUGUGCUUUGUACCUUUUGAAAUCAUUUUAUAUCUAUUUUUAUUGAACAUUCAUUAACAUAUCUAUUAUCGAACACCUACAAAUGCUGGAGGGGUAGGCAUUUGGACAUACAGUGGUAAGUAUGUUCAACAUAGUUUGCCUUCCCUGUGAACCUAAAAACAAGGUAUUCUCAGUAACUUUGUAAAGUAGGGCAACUUUUAUUAAAUGUAUUGUUUUGUGCAUUUAUUCAUUAAUUCACUAUGUUUUUGAUGAGAUUCUGUGUACAUGGCAGUAUGUCAGGGAAUGCAAUGAUAAACAAAGCAGACAUGAUUCUUGCCUACUCUACUCUAGCUCUUCCUGAUCAUUUUGUGAGGUGGUAAAUAUUAUGAAUUCAUUCACUCAAUAAAUAUUUAUAAAAUGCCUUCUGUGUGUAGAGAAAACUGAAGCCAGAGGUGAAAUGACUUAACAUGCAUCAUACUAGCUACUGAGAAAGCUCAAUCUAGCACACAGAAAUCUGUGAUCUAAGUGACCUUCUCACUUGAUCACAUUGUCCCUUAGUACCAAGUACAAUGAGAAUUACCUCCUAAAAACACCUUCCUCAAUCUGUAAAAGAAUUGGCAUCAACGUUGUCUUCUCAAACAAGGCAUAGAAAAUUAAGCUGGAAAAUUCCUCUCAACUUUAAAUGUAACCUUUACUUUUAUAUCCUAGGGGAUGAAGCUAGCCCAAAUGUUUUUAGUUCAAAAGACUGGGGUUCCAUCAAAAUGGAAGGUUUGCAAAUGAAUAAAUAGGAGUAUUAGGGUCCUUAGAGAAGAGCAAAAAUUCUAGAAUUUAUGAAGGAAAUAGCUUUUCACUGUAAGUGGAUAUUUGUCUGUAUUGUAUUGCCUCAAAGAGCCCAUGUUUUGUAUCUCUCUGUGUCAUGGGACUUCCUGUGAUUGUGUUAUUUGUGCCUUUCUUCUCUUCAAAUCUUUCUUUAGAUUCCUUACUUUUUCUAAAGUGCCUGGCCCUAUCUAAUAUCUCUGACUCAGAUCCUGAUUCACAAGGACAGAAAGCAUGCUUUAAGGCAUAAAUAUAGGGCAUUUAAUGCCCAAGAGCCUGGAAGUGUUGAAGUAACAUAAAUUCUCAUCAUUUGGAAACAAGGUUAGAAAAGACCACUUUCUGAUAUGGUAACUACCAAGCAUCAAUACACCAUGACAUUAGUUAUCUAGAGGAGAUAUUCCUAGGAAAUAGCGUAUGUUAAGACGGACAAUGAUGAAAACAAAACCAAAAAGAUUGAAUAAAUCAAAGAAAAAAAGAAGCUAAAGAAAGUAGUAAGGGAUAAGCAGAGAACAUGGAGUUAAGAGGAUCAUCUUU